rnacentral:rRNA from 1 species
UACGAAGGGGGCUAGCGUUGCUCGGAAUCACUGGGCGUAAAGCGCACGUAGGCGGAUCUUUAAGCCAGGGGUGAAAUCCUGGAGCUCAACUCCAGAACUGCCUUUGAUACUGGGGAUCUCGAGUCCGGGAGAGGUGAGUGGAACUGCGAGUGUAGAGGUGAAAUUCGUAGAUAUUCGCAAGAACACCAGUGGCGAAGGCGGCUCACUGGCCCGGUACUGACGCUGAGGUGCGAAAGCGUGGGGAGCAAACAGG